rnacentral:lncRNA from 1 species
AAGGUCCUUGAUUUAAUUUUGAGACUUGACAUUGUGAUGGAGGUCAUGAUAAUGAGAGUAAAGUUUCUUAUAAUUUAAUCUAAAUUUAUUCUUGAUUGUAGGAUUAUUAAUUUAAACAUUAGUAAUCCGGUUAGAUAAAUAUUGAUGUGAUCGUCUUUAUGGGAUAAAGAUUAGUUGAUCUCAUUAACUAAAUUACAUAGAUAGAUGAUGCAUAUAGAGAUAUGAUCAUUGAACCGAUUCAUUGGAUAAUUCUUAAUGGUUAGAAUUAUCAUAAACUGUAAAUAUGAUA